rnacentral:snRNA from 1 species
GUGCUCAUUUUGGCAGCGCAUACGCCAAGACUGGAAUGAUACAGAGAUUAGAGUGGCCUCUGCACAAGGAUGACAGGCAAAUUUCAUCCUUGAAAUUU